UAUGUGAUCGUCUCUCGCAUAUCAAUAAGCGGAGGAAAAGAAACUAACAAGGAUUCCCCUAGUAACGGCGAGUGAAGCGGGAAGAGCUCAAAUUUGAAAUCUUAAAGGGUUUCCCUUUACGAAUUGUAGUUUAAAGAAGUGUUUUCUGUUGAGGUUUUGGUAAAAGUUCUUUGGAAUAGGACAUCAUAGAGGGUGAGAAUCCCGUAUUUGACCUUUACUUUCAACUUUGUGAUACACUUUCAAAGAGUCGGAUUGUUUGGGAAUGCAGUCCAAAAUGGGUGGUAAAUUUCAUCUAAAGCUAAAUAUUGGCGAGAGACCGAUAGCGAACAAGUACCGUGAGGGAAAGAUGAAAAGAACUUUGAAAAGAGAGUUAAACAGUACGUGAAAUUGUCAAAAGGGAAGCGUUUGACACCAGUGUUGUUUUUCUGAAAAUCAAUUAAAGAACUGUUUAUGCUAAGCUGUUUAGACUUUAUCAGCUAAUCUGUUUAGUUUUGAGCUUUCCUUUAAUGCACUUUUCAGUUAACAAGUCAACAUCAAUUUCUUUUGCUGUAAAAAAGCUUGAGGAAGGUGGCUUGAGAUUCGUCUUAAGUGUUUAUAGCCUCUUGCCUAUGCAGUCGGAGAGAUUGAGGUCUGCAGCGUAGAUCCUUCGGGGCUAAAUGCAUUUGUGCUAAGUUAUAGCAUUUUAUAGACAACUUGUUGACUAUGAUUUGUCUUGUAGCUUACUCGCUUAUGUUAUUUUACCUACGCUUAGGAUGUUGAUCUGUAGUGCGUGCGC
rnacentral:rRNA from 1 species